AAACUUAAAGGAAUUGACGGGGGCCCGCACAAGCGGUGGAGCAUGUGGUUUAAUUCGAAGCAACGCGAAGAACCUUACCAGGUCUUGACAUCCUCUGACAACCCUAGAGAUAGGGCUUCUCCUUCGGGAGCAGAGUGACAGGUGGUGCAUGGUUGUCGUCAGCUCGUGUCGUGAGAUGUUGGGUUAAGUCCCGCAACGAGCGCAACCCUUGAUCUUAGUUGCCAUCAUUUAGUUGGGCACUCUAAGGUGACUGCCGGUGACAAACCGGAGGAAGGUGGGGAUGACGUCAAAUCAUCAUGCCCCUUAUGACCUGGGCUACACACGUGCUACAAUGGACGGUACAAAGAGCUGCAAGACCGCGAGGUGGAGCUAAUCUCAUAAAACCGUUCUCAGUUCGGAUUGUAGGCUGCAACUCGCCUACAUGAAGCUGGAAUCGCUAGUAAUCGCGGAUCAGCAUGCC
rnacentral:rRNA from 1 species